UCCCAGAAAGACGGCUAAUGGGACAUCAGUAGUUUGUAGGUCAAUCUACGACAGCCAGAGAGAGCAUUUUUUUGUGGUGCAUACCGUGUGUGCUGCCGCUGGAGCCAUAGAAGAAGUCACUGUCGGAGAAAUAUACGAGUGGGUCGUGAUUGUGCCGCAACCAUGAUUUUUUUGCACUUCUUCCCCUGGAGGUGCAACAGAAGAGGGGGCGUGGGAGGGGGUGGCCUGGCUCAGAUCAUCACCACCCUUCUCUGGUGUCUCGUGGGUGGGUUGGUGUUCUCCACCGAUAACCAUGUGUUCGCCAGCAAGGACUCCUCUGUCAUCGAGGAGGUCAACUCGCGACAACUAGCCAAACUGCUGGAUGAGAAAGACUUUGUUGCGGUGCUCUGGAUGACAAAAAACUGUCCUGCCUGCGUAACCGCCCUCCAAGAAUUAGAAAAGAUAGAUGACGACACGGACAAGUUCGGUGUGGAGUUUGUCAAGAUCAUCGACAAACGCACGGCUAAAAAUUACGGAGUGGACUCGUUUCCAACACUGACCUAUUUCCGCAACAAGGAACCCGUCCCUUUCACAGGAGACUUGGAGAAUGAGGACGCCGUGCUGGAAUUUCUUACCUCGCUCGACUCAAUGGAUUCGAGAGAUCGGAUUGAAGAGGUCAACGCAAAGAUACUUGAUCGAAUUGUUCACGAAGACGGAAGUUACGUGGCCGUCCUCUUUUGUAGAUCGAUGGAGGCAUGUAGAGCUAAAAACACGCCAGAUUGUCGGAAAUGCGAAAAGGUGUUGAGGGAAUUGGAGAACAUUGAUGACGAGGCGGACGAGUUGGGCAUAGCCUUCGUCAAAAUCCAGGAUGAUGAGCUGGCAGAUGAGUACAACUUGGAGUCAUUGCCAUCCCUGGUCUAUUACAGGCUGGAAGUACCCAUUGUGUUCGAUGGCGAUCUCACAAAUGAGGAAGAUGUCUUGGAAUGGCUCAUCACCAACAAAAAUAGCGGUGACGAUGAGGAUGACGAAAUAGAAGCCGUUAGCGCUAAGGCCCUUUGGACUUUGGUGGACUCGAUCGACCACUUGGCCGUCCUCUUCCUCGACUCGAGCCCCCUGUCCGAGGCAGCCCUCAAAGACCUCGAACUGAUCGACGACGACUGUUCCAGACAAGGCAUCGAGUUUGUCAAAACUGAUGAUAAGAAAGCAGCGAAAGAGUUUGGCGUGGAAAAUUUACCUGCCCUCGUCUACUUCGAACAACAAAUACCCAACGUGUACGAUGGUGAUUUGAGGGACGAGGAUGAAGUUUUGAAAUGGUUAUUGCAUCAAAAAGAUUCUGACGAGAUCGAGGACGUCACCUCCGAAAUGUUGAGCAGAUUAAUUAAGGAAAAGAAACAUUUGGUAGUCCUGUUUUACGACGAUGAUGAAAAAGAGUCAUCGACUGUACUCGCAGAACUAGAAAACAUCGAUGACGAGUGUGAUCAACACGGUGUGACCUUUGUCAAAAUUGAUGACAUGAAAGAGGCAGCGGAAUUUGGAAUUGAAGACACGCCAAAGCUUGUCUACUUUGAGAACACGAUCCCAUCCAUUUACGGGGGCGAUCUGACCAAGGAGGAGAAAGUGCUGGAGUGGCUUAUCGAACAAGUGGAGACUGACGAGAUCGAGGAGGUCACAGACGAAAUGUUGAACAUGCUAAUAAAUAACAACCAGCAGCUCUCUGUCCUCUUUUCGGAACAUCAUGAUGUUGCUGUCCUUUUCAUAAAUGACAAAGACAGUCGACAAUCGCAAAAGAUUUUGGACAAGCUGGAAAACAUUGAUUCUCGAUGUGACGAGCACGGCAUUCCUUUCGUCAAGUUAUCGGAUGAGACAAAAGUACGAGAACUUGGGAUUCCCGUUCCAUCUUUAGUAUACUUUGAGAACAAGAUACCACACUUGUACGAAGGGUCGCUUGAAGACGAGGAAGAGACGUUGGAGUGGCUUCUUCAUCAACUCAAAUCGGACGAGAUUGAAGAGGUUACGGAUGAGAUGCUGGACCAACUUAUUGAACACCAUCCCUAUGUCACAGUUCUCUUUUAUGACAAAGAUGACAAGACAGACCUCAAGAUCCUCACUGAAUUAGAAAAUAUCGACGACGAGUUGGACGGCCAUGGCAUGCUCUUCGUCAAGAUUGACAACGAUGAGGAAGCUAAAGAGUAUGGAUUUGAAGAACUUCCAGUUUUGGUGUAUUUCGAGAAUAAGAUACCUUCCGUGUAUGAGGGAGACCUGGGAAACGAGGAGAAAGUCCUGGAAUGGCUUUUAGAACAGAAACACUCGGACACUAUCGAGGAGGUUACAGAUGAGAUGCUGCAAAAAUUGAUUGGAACAAAUCAAUACGUUGCGGUUUACUUUAGUGGAGACUGUGGCAAAGGGGAAAAAUGUGCCAAAAUCCUGGAAGACUUGGAAUCUUUGGACGACGAUGCAGAUGAGGCAGGAAUCACAAUGGUGACCACGGAGGAAACUAUUUUCGCCACGAAAAGUCUGGGCCUCAGGUCCUUCCCUUCGCUAGUGCUCUUCCGCAACGGUGAUCCUCUCCUCUUCAAAGGCGACAUCACGGAUGAGGACGAAGUUCUUACUUGGAUCACGGAUGAAGACAAUCUCGAGCUCCCCGAUCAGAUCGAGGAGGUCAACCUCAAGAUGCUCCAACGGCUCUUGCACACCACGGAGCACGUCAUUGUGUUCUUUUACCGUUCGGGCGAUAAGAAGUCGGCAAGGAUCUUGCAAGAGCUUGAAAAUAUUGACGACGAGGCUGACGCAGCCAGCAUUGCUUUCGUAAAAAUAUCAGACGAGGCCAUGCUGCGAGAAUACGACCUCGAUCCUUUGCCAGCAUUAGUUUACUUCAAUGAAAAAUUCCCAAUGAUUUAUCCUGGGGACAUGUCGAAAGAAGAGGCCGUGUUGGACUGGGUUUUCAAGCUGAAAGAGGCAGACCGUGACCAGAUUGAAGAAGUGGACCAUCGCACAUUGCGAAUGCUGCUGGAUGAGAUGGACAAUGUGGCAGUGUUUUACUUUGAAGAUGACUGCGGCUCCUCGUGUGACAAGAUUUUGGAAGAGUUGGAACACAUUGAUGACGAUGCGAGCGACGUUGGAAUUCACUUUGUUAAGACGACUGACACGUCCGUGGCAGAGGAGGAAUUGAGGCUGACGGAAUUCCCCAAGCUGGUCUACUACCAAGGGGGCCUCCCCUCAAUUUAUCGAGGCUCACUGGAGGAAGAGGGGGAAGUUUUGCAUUGGUUGGUCUAUCAGAGAAAGUUUGAAGCCCUGCCGGAAUUGACGAGGAAUGACUUGGAUGAUUUGGUUCAGGACUCGGACUACUUGUCAAUCGUUUUCUAUGCCAACCUUACUCACGAGGAGUCUACGAGGACGCUGCGAAGAGCUUCUCUCAUAGCGGAGGACGCAGCAACAUUUGGAAUUCCCAUCGCCAAGAUGAACGAUGCCCUGAUGGCCAAGAGGUUCGGGGUUAAGGAGCUUCCUGGGCUGGUGCUAUUUCGACGGGGACGACACAUUCGAUACGACGACGAUCUGGACGACGAAGAGGAAAUGUUGGACUGGUUGACCGCUCCGGAAAAUAUGAUCCUUAGAGACCAGAUUGAAGUUGUCAACCGUAAAAUGUUGGAUCGGAUGAGAGAGACAACGGAGCACUUGGCCACCAUGUUUUUUUCAGAAACAGACUGCAAACAGUGCCAGCGCGUGGUGGAAUCUUUAGAGCAAAUAGACGACGAAGCUGACGAGAACGGAAUUGCUUUUGUCCGAGUUGAUGACUGGGAGUUGGCGAAAUCUUUUGGCGUUCACGCACUUCCAGCCCUACUUUAUUUCAAACUUGGGAGUGACGAGCCCAUAAUUUUCGCUGGAGAUCUUCGCUCCCCCCAGAAAAUUUUGGAGUGGUUGUUGAUGAGGAAGGACCCAAGUGGAACUGCGAUUGAGGAAAAAGAAGGCGAAGAGCUUGGGAAGAUGAUUGAGGAAGAAGGCAGCUCACUCGUCGUCUACUUUUUCAACAAGACUGUUUGCAAGGCGUGUGAGCCAGACAACAAGAAGAAGAGGAAGGAGAAGAAGAAGGAGGGCAAAGAAGCGUCGGAAGAGUCGGCAGAAGCGGAAGCAGAACGCUUGGCUGGGUGUGCAAUGUGCAGGGAGGUACUCGAGAAGCUGGAAACCGUGGAUGAGGAGGUUGCUCGGCAUGGGGUCAACUUUUACCGGACAGCGGAUGCUGAUUUUGCUGGCGAAAUUGGCGUCGCUGAAUUUCCAGCUUUGGUUUACUUUGAGGACAGCGUUGCCAGCGUGUUUGAAGGGGAGCUCACAAUAGAAGAAGAUGUUCUGCAUUGGAUUGUGGAGCACAAGACAGAGUCCAGGAUAGAGCUUAUUACCAGAGGAAUGUUGGAGCAAGCAUUAAUUGAAACUGCCUACUUGGCCGUCUUCUUCUACAAACAACCUUGCAGAGCUUGUGACGCCAUAUUGAUGGAGCUGGAACACAUAGAUGACGACUGUGAUUCGUAAAUCACAGUACGAUCACAGUUACAGUUAUUAUCAUCUUAUCUCAUGAUAAGAUGACGACUGUGAUGAUUGUGAGUCGUAUUUAUGUGAGUAAUAAUUAACACCACGAUGUUAAUUAAUAAUUUAUAAAUGAGAGGUGGUGUUAAUUAUUAAUUAACACCACCAGUGCUCCCAAAAAGGCUGUGAGAAAUCGGUUGUGAAAGGGAAAUGUCAUACUGAAAUCUUAAACCGGGAGAUUUGUAGUUUUAUUGUCUAAUUCUCUCCCUCGUGAAUCGGAUUAUUUGUAUCCAUUUGUCUGAAUCGAUUUGCAAUGAUAAGUGACAGUGAAUUAAUGCGAAAGCAUGCAAAAUGUGGGGAAGAUUUGUUUUUCUGGCGAGACGGGAACGGCAAGAUUCAAAUGAGAGUUAUCGAGGAGCAGGACCUUAAAAAGAAUCUAGUUCAAAUAUAUUUCUCUCUGUUAACCGACCGACAUGGGGAUAUGCGUGAUAUGACCGUGAACAAAGGAGGUGACAAUAUCUGCCUUAUUGAGAGAACGGAGUCAACCGUCGCUACGUUUUGCAAUGAUGCUUUAGACCCGAACGGAUGUAAGGUAAAAGACCUGGAGGAACAGUGGGGAUGGAAAGUGAACACUGAGAUGACAUACUCCUUCCAUAUGUAUACUGAUGAGUCUUGGGUAGCGGACCAACUGAAGUACGUCACCCGUAGGAAGUUUGGCGUUGUUUGCGCUGAAGCACCGUACUCUGCAGAAAUUGUGUUAGCAGAACACAAGGAAAAAAUUUAUGAUCAUCUGAGGAAGUUCCUUCCUCGACUUCCUCAACUCAGAGAAGAAUACUUCAACAAUCCUCCCCCUCCCCCUCCUGACAAAUUAGAAAAUGCUCGUCUACCCCCGCCGGUACAAGAGAAACUGAAAUGUGAAUUGUGUUCUUCAUUUGUGCAUAGAGAUCUUACAAAUCUAACGGAGCAUAUAAAUAAAUGCCAUUAUUCUGGCCCCGAUGCAGUGGCCUGUGAUUGCUGUCCAUGUUCUUUUAAAAAACCGUCAAGCCUCCAAGCUCAUCGAGCCAACAUUCACGCAGGAACCAAACCACCAAAAAGGAAUACGUUCGGCAUCAUGGACAUGAGUGACGAGGACGCAUGCGAUGCCUUCCUGGAGAUUGUCCCAUGUGAUGAAGGUUCCAAAAUAAGUAAAUCCCGUUGUAUAUGGGCACGAGAAGAUGGGCACAAAUGUGGAAAAAUAAUGAUUGGGGUAAUCAAUUCUCGUGAUCACGUCUGCACCCAUUUAAAACUGAGGCCGUAUAUAUGUCCUGUGUCUGGAUGUAUCUAUUCCUCCGCAGCUUACCACAACGUUAUCAGACAUUACAAAAGUAACCAUGAAGGAGAAGAACAACAACGCGACGAAGAGUCUGAGAACAAAGAAGACGAACCUCCAAAGAAAAAAAAGAAACCCCUAGCUUCACAAACACAAUCAAAUACACGCAGCAAAUAGGAAAACACUGGAGAAACGUGAUGACCAACCUAAUGUUUCCCAUGGUACAGAGGUCAACGAAAUGCUGAAUUUCGUUUUCGAUGUACCGUUCGUAAAACCCGAUCCGAUAUAACCAUUGAAGAAUUUCAACUAAACCAAAGACUACGGUGCCCACAACAAACCUUUAACGCCAAUUAUUAAAGAUACAAUUAAUGCAAAUUAGUCAUAAUUAAGAUACGAUGUGUAUCACAACAUUUUUGUCUUUUUCUCUUAUUCUCAUAAAGUAAAUUAAAUUAAAAAUUAUUGUUGUCGAAUAGUUUGUGAUUAAAUAUUUCUCACUCUCGAA